GCGAGCGCCAGGUGCGGAGCGGGCGUUAGAAGUUGCUGGCAGUCAGAGGCAGGGGAGCUGUCACUCGCGGCGAGCCGGGCGGCGGCCAGGGCGCAAAGUUGAGAGCAGUCUCUAGUCUGAGCCUUUCAGUCGCCUUCCAGUAUCAUCAGUACCACGGGCUCCACCUUGCUGCGGCCCCUCAGCAACCCAGUGCACCUGCCACUCGACCAGAGGGAAAGCAGUCAGGAGUGGGAGGCCUCUGAACAAGCUGUAUUUUGUGUAGCCGCCAGCUUCCAUCUUUCUCCAGGCAGAACGCUGGCCCUCAGCACAUCUUUCUGCUUCCCCUCGGUCAGACCACCGAGAACUGCCGCUGUCCUGUCUGACUCCUCCUGUUUUGAAGCAGCCCCAAUUGAAACCAGCUCCACCUGUGAUCCUAGGAAGAGAGAGCAUCUUCUCUGGGAAGAAAUGCCCUGGGGAAGACUCUUGGUCAUGGGGACUGGGCGCUGUGACAGGACUUCGUGAACUACAUGGAUUGUAGCUGUUGGGGUGACAACAUAUCCAUACUUCAUCUUGAUAAGACAUAUCAUUUGAUGGUUGAAAGCUGUAAUUAUUUUAAGAUAAUACACAAUAGAUUUUAAUAGCUUUAUCAAGAUAUAAUUCACAUACCAUAGGACUUACCCAUUUAAAGUGUACAGUUCAAUGGUUUUAAUGUAUUCACAGUUGUGCAGCUAUCACCACUGUCUAAUCUGUAACAUUUCCAUCACCAAAAGAAACUUUGCACCUAUUAGCAGUCACUCCCCAUUUUUCCCAAGCCCCUCAGCCUUAAGCAACCACUCAUCUACUUUCUGUCUCUAUAGAUUUGCCUAUUUCAGACAUUUUGUAUGAGUGGGAAUCAUACGACAUGCGGUCUUUUGUGUCUGACUUCUUUCAUUAGCAUGUUUUCAAGGUUUGUCUAUCUUUGCAUAUCAUCAUGCAUUUCUUAUUAUUGCCAAACAUUCCAUUAUAUGGAUAUACCACAUUUUAUUUGUCUGUCUGUUGAUGGACAUUUGGGUUGUUUUCACAUUUUCGCAAUUAUGAAUAAUGCCACUGUGAACAUUUGUGUAGAAGCUUAAGUUUUCAGUUCUUUUGUGUGUAUACCUGGUAGUGGAAUUGCUGGGUCAUAGGAUAACUGUGCCUAACAUUUUGAGGAGCUGUUUUCAAAGUGACUGUACCAUUUUACAUUCUCACCAUCAAUGUGUGAUGGUUCCAGUUUCUUUACAUUAAAUAAUGGCCUGUUUACUUGUCUUCUUGCCUUGUAUUGGAGUUCUCCCAGUGGGUUCUGAAUCUGCUCCACCUCAUCCAGUUGUCCAGGUAAGCAGACCAUGUUGAUCAAAGGAUCAGAAGUGUAUGUUUGUUUGUUUUUCUUUUUCUUUAUAAAUUUCAUUAUUUACAAACCUUGACAGGGAUUAUUCUUAUUUUCAUAUUAAGAAAGAAGUUGUAAAUACCAGAGGUUACUUGGUUGAGGUAGGAACAGGGAUUUGUAUUUAGGAUUUAUUAGGUGUUAGAGAGCUGCUUGCUUCAGAUCUGCAGUGUCAGCCUACUUUGAUAUGAUAGGUGGCAUUCAUAUGACACACAUUCUCACUUGUGUUCACUGUGUUAUAUGUAGUUCCCAGCAAACUAGUUGUAUCUCUACUGUUUUUUUCCUAGAAAUGUGAGGGCAAGAGUAAUGUUUUAGGAAUAAUCUUUAUUAAAUUGUUCAUAAACUUGACUUUUAAUUUUCAUUAGUAUUAAUUACUUGCAGCACACCAAAACUGAGCUGCUUUUCUGUGAUUCACAAUUGUUGCUUCUGACUACUUUAUUAUGCCGACUUUUGUUAUCAGCCCUGUAGGGCUAUUUAACAUUCACCUUGAAGUCAGUAUAAAAUUUGAUACUCUGGCAGUCUGUAUUCAGAGAUGCAUAGAUGGUCUUCCAUCGGUGGCUUUCUCCCUAGCCCUAGAGCAGUCCAUGUAUCCAGACUCCAUAUUGAGUCUUGCCUUCUCAGCACAACAUAAGAGAAUCUAUGUUGAUCACACAUUAUGCAAAAAUCUAUGUUGAUCUCUUGCCGCUGAUUUGCCACAUAUCACUAUAUAGCUUGAAAGUCAAGAACUUGUGAUUUAGAAUUGCUGUUCAGCUCAUGCUUAAUAUUUUAAUGACAUCAAGCAAUAGCAAGAAGAGAUUACACAUAUUGGCAGCACCUUCUAAACUUGGGAUAAUGUGGUGAUCUCCGUAAGAUAAAACAGGAGCUUGCAGGUAUUUAACAACAGAUUUUUGUAAAGCUGAUAAUGUGCCAGGGAUAGGUGCUGGGGGAUACAAUAAACAAAAUGGAUAAAAAUCUCUGUCCUUAUAAAAUGUACAUCCCAGUGAUUAAUGAUUUACUGUGAGAUCAUUUAUAAUGUGUAACAUCCAGAUAAAAAAACUAUUGUGAUUUUUUUUUGGUAGCAGUGUCUGAACACUUUAAAAUUCUAAAAAAGAAAAGUAAGGAAUUAAAAAUGUUUAAAUUGGUGCAUUUAGCUAGUAUAUUAUGUAAGUAAUUAUUGGCUAAGUACCCCAAAGACAAGGUAUUACAGAUCCCAAUCUAAUCAUUAAAAGUUAACACUUUUUAUAUUGACCUGAUCCUUAUUGAAAAGUGUAUUAUUUUAGUGAGAGGCAGUGCAAUCUCAAAAUCAACAUCAUACCUCUAAAUUGAUAAGUUGAUGUUGUAUCAAAUAGAAAUUUCAUGAUAAUGAGGCAGGUCAGUAUUUGAAUUUUUCAGUUCUUUAGAAGCAUAAUUUGAAGACUUGUAAAAUUAAUAGGACCGUUGAAAUUGACUUUUAUUUUUAAACAUCAGACAGGUAAUGUGCUGAUGUAAAAAGGUUGAGGAAGAAGAUUUGGAAUCUUGUAAAAUUAAUAGGACAGUUGAAAUUGACCUUUAUUUUUAAACAUCACACAGUAAUGUGCUGAUAUUGUAAAAAAGUUUGGGUUUCCACACUCACAUGUGAGUUAUCACAUGUGAUAUUUAUCAUCACAUGUUGUCACAUAAGUUAUCAUCACACUUAGGAAUUACAAAAGGAUCAAAAUAGACCUUUUUUUUUUAAAUGGAUUUGGGUACUUUUUACCCAGUAGUACCAGGCACCUGGAGAUGAAUGCUUUCAAGUGAAAUAAGAAAGGAUCACAAUUCUUAUUUGGGCUAAUGCUUCUGAUAGGCACAGCAGGAAUGAAUGAAUGAAUAAAUGAAUGAAUGAAUCUUAUUAGCAUAUAUAAUAAAUAAGUAAAAAACUUUACAAGAUAAUUUUAGUUAGUGAUAAGUACUGUAGAGUCAGUAAA